UACGUAGGGGGCGAGCGUUGUCCGGAUUUAUUGGGCGUAAAGGGCGCGCAGGUGGUGCGGUAAGACUGCCGUGAAAUCUCCCGGCUCAACUGGGAGGGUGCGGUGGAGACUGCCGGACUAGAGGCACUCAGAGGCCGGUGGAAUUCCCGGUGUAGUGGUGAAAUGCGUAGAGAUCGGGAGGAACACCAGUGGCGAAGGCGGCCGGCUGGGGGUGACCUGACGCUGAGGCGCGAAAGCGUGGGGAGCGAACCGG
rnacentral:rRNA from 1 species